AGAUGAGAGGGCAAUCUGGCUGCAAUACUAGUGACUUCCCUGACCUCCAGGUUUGAUUUGGCUGAUCUGNCAGGCUAGGUGGGUGCUCCAUCCCAUCCCCACACAGCUUGCAUGUCCCUCCCAAAGCUGCAUGCUUGGUAGAGUAGGACAACCAUCCUAGAUGGAAGUGUACGGUUGUUCAGAUGAUGCACAAAUCAAUUUCUGUAUUAUUAAUAAUAAUAAUGUUUGUUUAU
rnacentral:snRNA from 1 species